CCUACGGGACGCAGCAGUGAGGAAUAUUGGUCAAUGGCCGAGAGGCUGAACCAGCCAAGUCGCGUGAGGGAAGACGGCCCUACGGGUUGUAAACCUCUUUUGUCGGGGAGCAAAGAGAGUCAUGUGUGACUCAUUGAGAGUACCCGAAGAAAAAGCAUCGGCUAACUCCGUGCCAGCAGCCGCGGUAAUACGGAGGAUGCGAGCGUUAUCCGGAUUUAUUGGGUUUAAAUGGUGCGCAGGCGGAGGUGCAAGUCAGCGGUCAAUUUGCGGGGCUCAACCCGGUGCUGCCGUUGAAACUGCAUCCC
rnacentral:rRNA from 1 species